GCCGGAGUGGCGGAAUUGGCAGACGCCCAGGACUUAAAAUCCUGUGCUCUUAAUUGGGCGUACCGGUUCGACCCCGGUCUCCGGCA
rnacentral:tRNA from 1 species